rnacentral:rRNA from 1 species
CAGCCGCCGCGGUAAUACAGAGGGUGCGAGCGUUAAUCGGAUUUACUGGGCGUAAAGCGUGCGUAGGCGGCUUUUUAAGUCGGAUGUGAAAUCCCUGAGCUUAACUUAGGAAUUGCAUUCGAUACUGGGAAGCUAGAGUAUGGGAGAGGAUGGUAGAAUUCCAGGUGUAGCGGUGAAAUGCGUAGAGAUCUGGAGGAAUACCGAUGGCGAAGGCAGCCAUCUGGCCUAAUACUGACGCUGAGGUACGAAAGCAUGGGGAGCAAACAGGAUUAGAUACCCCGGUAGUCCCUGUCUAUUAUAA